rnacentral:rRNA from 1 species
GAUGAACGCUGACAGAAUGCUUAACACAUGCAAGUCAACUUGAAUUUGGGUUUUUAACUUCGGUUUGGGUGGCGGACGGGUGAGUAACGCGUAAAGAACUUGCCUCACAGCUAGGGACAACAUUUGGAAACGAAUGCUAAUACCUAAUAUUAUGAUAAUAGGGCAUCCUAUAAUUAUGAAAGCUAUAAGCGCUGUGAGAGAGCUUUGCGUCCCAUUAGCUAGUUGGAGAGGUAACGGCUCACCAAGGCGAUGAUGGGUAGCCGGCCUGAGAGGGUGAUCGGCCACAAGGGGACUGAGACACGGCCCUUACUCCUACGGGAGGCAGCAGUGGGGAAUAUUGGACAAUGGGCCGAGAGUCUGAUCCAGCAAUUCUGUGUGCACGAUGAAGUUUUUCGGAAUGUAAAGUGCUUUCAGUUGGGAAGAAACAAAUGACGGUACCAACAGAAGAAGUGACGGCUAAAUACGUG